rnacentral:rRNA from 1 species
GACGAACGCUGGCGGCGUGCCUAAUACAUGCAAGUAGGACGCAGUUGCGAACGGGUGAGUAACGCGUAGGUAACUGCCUAUUAGAGGGGGGUAACUAAUGGAAACGAUAGCUAAUACAGCAUACUAGUAGAUGGACCUGCGUUGUAUUAGCUAGUAGGUAGGGUAAUGGCCUCCCUAGGCGACGAUACAUAGCCGACCUGAGAGGGUGAUCGGCCCCCCUGGGACUGAGAAACGGCCCAGACUCCUACGGGAGGCAGCAGUAGGGAAUCUUCGGCAAUUGGGUGAACCCUGACCGAGCAACGCCGCGUUAGUGAAGAAGGUUUUCGGAUCGUAAAGCUCUGUUGUUAAGGAAGCGGUACUUAACCAGAAAGGGACGGCUAACUACGUGCCAGCAGCCGCGGUAAUAC